CUCAUUAGCACUGUGGAAAAUGUCAGGGAAGAAAUAAUGACCAGAAGACAACAUUGCUGCCAUCUGUCCCAACAAAUGAAGGUGUUGAGUAAUGGAGACGAAUACCUGAUGUCAACCAUGGACCUACUCCAUACAUGCACGCACACACACAGAGGCUGGAAACCACCAUCAAAACACCAUAAACAGAGGACUAGUUCAACAACUAGAACAGCACUAUUGAAGAGAGCAAGUCAGGGGAGACAUUCCAGCUCAAUUCCAGCUCGGUUUCAUCAUGCUUACAACUACCAGUCAUUCUGAGAGGAGAUAGAAUCUCAUUGUGGCUUGUAUUUGCAUUUCUCUGGGCUAAAGAUGAAAUGAAAACAUAGACGUCGUCAUCAUGAAUAGUCCUCCUGAUCCUGAUUGUCACCGAAAAUAAUUCCCAAGACAGCUGAAGAGGCCUUCGGGUUCAGGCUCCGCCCAUCCAUCCAUCUGCCCCACCCUUCAUUCUUGCUUCGUUCCAAAGAAGAGAAGGAAGAAGAGAGAAGGGAUUGAGCAGAGGCCUGGGCACGCAUGGGUCCCCUCUGGCAGUGGGCAGAGUCACAGGGCGGAAGCAAGUUGUCUUUCUUCCUGCCCAGCUUCAAAUGCAGCCGGAGAGAGGAGCUAGCUGGGAACUUGAACAUCUGCAGAAAGCCUGGAUACUUCCUUCUGUCUUUCUUCUCCCCUGUGGCAGUCAGGGCAGGGCUUCCUCUUUGCCUGUGCCUGAGCUUCUGGAUGGGGUCAGAGGCUGAGGACUGAAGGCUGCCCAGUGGUGGUGGUGACAAAGUCAGCACUUCCCUUUGUUAGCCUUUGGAUGCUGUGACAAAGCCCCAGAGACCUGACUUGGAGGAGCAAGGUCAAGGUUGGCUAGAUCCGUUGCUUUUAGGUAUGGGAUGAUGCUAAACAUCAGGACACCUGGACCAUCUGGUAGAGGAUGCUGCUGCCGUUGUGGUAGCUAGGAAACAGGAAGACAGAAGGAAGACAGGAGGCAAGAGCAUGCUCUCUGUGAUCGUCUUCUCCAAGCAGUCUGCAUCUCUGAGCUCCUAACACCUCCCCCUAGUGCUGUUGAAUGAUGGGUAUAUCCAUGCAACCACUGAUUAGGUCAGGGCCUCCAUGGCUUGCUCAUCUCUCAACAGUGUCACCAGCUAGGGUCUGCUCCUUCAAUACUGGGACCUUUCAGAGAGCAUACAUAGUGACCAUCUUAAUACCACCAAAACUUUGCUCUCAUUCCUUCUUGUCUCCAGAGUGCUUGAACCAAAGAGGCAUCAAGGAGUCAUUUCCUGUUACAUAGAAGGGCAUCAUAUUUCCUCAGGAUUUUUCUUUACCCUCAGCUAGUUUUGUAGGCAAAGAUAAUAGCCCUCUGUUUCAUUGAGUGCUUCGAUUUCUUUUUAUAUCAUAAGUAGGUUGCUGACACACUAUGUGUUGACUAAUCAUAUCUUUUCUUUUGUGAAUUACAUUCAUGGCUUUAGCUCACUUUGGAGUUUUAAGUUAGAUUUUAAUGUCUUCAAUAAAAAAUAUACUCAUCUGGGCGUUUUUGACUGUGUGUAUCUAGGUACCAUAUGUGUGUGCUGCAUCCUCAGAGGCCAGGAGAGCCCAUCGCAUGCCCUAGAAUUGGUGCUAUACACAAUUCUGAACUACCAUGUGGGUGUGGAGAAUCAAACCCUGGAUCCCUGGAAGAACAGCCAGUGCUUUUAAACGUCUCUGGCUUGUGAUGAGUCAGCGGGACUGCAAAGAUGAAACACCUGGCUAAGCUCUUGACAGCUGAAGCAUUCUGUCUUCUCCUCUCUGCUGAACCUUUGACCCUUGCUAGACCGGCCUGAUUACUGACUUCCUGAUGAAGAGACUCAGGUAUUUCCAGAGAAGACAUCUUGUUAACACAGAUCCCGAUGAGCAAGAGAAGGCAUUUUUGAGGAGGCCUGUAGUU
rnacentral:lncRNA from 1 species